UACAGAGGUCCCAAGCGUUGUUCGGAUUCAUUGGGCGUAAAGGGUGCGUAGGUGGCGCCGUAAGUCGGGUGUGAAAUUUCGGAGCUUAACUCCGAAACUGCAUUCGAUACUGCGGUGCUUGAGGACUGGAGAGGAGACUGGAAUUCAUGGUGUAGCAGUGAAAUGCGUAGAUAUCGAGAGGAACACCAGUGGCGAAGGCGAGUCUCUGGACACUUCCUGACGCUGAGGCACGAAAGCCAGGGGAGCAAACGGG
rnacentral:rRNA from 1 species